rnacentral:lncRNA from 1 species
CAGCGACCUCCACGGAAAUCAUGAAGAUGUCCUUUCUGUUCCUCACUGCCUUCUGCCACAGCCCCUGGUCGGCAAGUGACCAAUUAAAAGGACCAGCCUGUCAUUCAGGAACAAUUGACAGAGGUCUAAGAUGUGUGAGAGAGAAGACAAAGGAGGCAGAGAGAGAGAGAGAGGUGCUGGCCAGACUUGGUGACAAACAGGCCUGACACAGUGAAGACGAAGGUUAAAUACAGAGAAGAAAUAACUUGGAAACGAACAUCAAAGAAGGAUGGUGGAAAUGGUAUGCUUGAGUGUGUGUGUGAGUGUGUGUGUGUGCUUGUGUCAGGGUGUGUCUAUGUGUGUGUCUGAUGACAUGAGUGUGUGUCUGUCUGUGGGUGAGUGUACGAGUGUGUGUAUUAAAGAAGUUGUGAUGUAGUCUCAUUUCAAACCUGGCUCAGGAUUACUGGCUGCCCAGUGGACUCACACUCUUGCCUGCAUCAGAAAGCCAAGCUAGGCCCCGCUCCCUGUGCACUCGAGUGUCUGUUUUGUUGGCUGCAUCUUGCUGCGGCACUAAGGGAUGGACUUUGCCAAGCCCAGUCUGUAAACAAAUCUGUUGGCUCAGGAUUGUU